UACGUAGGAGGCGAGCGUUGUCCGGAAUCACUGGGCGUAAAGCGCGUGUAGGCGGGCAGGCAAGUCUGCUGUGAAAGCGCCUGGCUUAACCGGGCGAGGUCGGCGGAAACUGCUUACCUGGAGGGCGGUAGAGGGGGGUGGAAUUCCCGGUGUAGUGGUGAAAUGCGUAGAUAUCGUAAGGAAGACCAGUGGCGAAGGCGGGUCUCUGGACAGUUCCUGACACUGAGACACGAAGGCCAGGGGAGCAAACGGG
rnacentral:rRNA from 1 species